ACGGAAGGCAGCAGUGAGGAAUAUUGGUCAAUGGGCGGAAGCCUGAACCAGCCAAGUCGCGUGAAGGAAGACGGUAUUAUGUAUUGUAAACUUCUUUAGACGCAGAGAAAUAAGCUCCACGCGUGGAGUGAUGCUAGUAUGCGUAGAAUAAGGAUCGGCUAACUCCGUGCCAGCAGCCGCGGUAAUACGGAGGAUCCGAGCGUUAUCCGGAUUUAUUGGGUUUAAAGGGUGCGCAGGCGGUCUUUUAAGUCAGUGGUUAAAUCGUGGAGCUCAACUCCAUCCCGCCAUUGAUACUGGGAGACUUGAUUGCGGUCGAGGUUGGCGGAAUUCGCCGUGUAGCGGUGAAAUGCAUAGAUAUGGCGAAGAACUCCGAUUGCGUAGGCAGCUGACCAGGCCGUAAAUGACGCUCAUGCACGAAAGUGCGGGGAUCGAACAGGAUUAGAUACCCUGGUA
rnacentral:rRNA from 1 species